rnacentral:rRNA from 1 species
GAUAGGUUAAGUUAAUAAGGGCGCAUGGUGGAUGCCUUGGCACUAGAAGGCGAUGAAGGACGUGACUAACUACGAUAUGCCUCGGUUAGCUGUAAGUAAGCUUACCCGGGGGUUUCCGAAUGGGGCAACCCGAUCUUAAUGAUCAUCAUCUUUUUGAAUUCAUAGAUUAGAUGAAGCAAACGCUGUGAACUGAAACAUCUAAGUAGCAGUAGGAAAGUAAAGAAAUUUCGAUUCCGUCAGUAGCGGCGAGCGAACGCGGAAGAGCCCAAACCUGGAUGCUUGCAUCCAGGGGUUGUAGGACUGAUGUUGAGUUACAAAGGUAUAAGAUAGCAGAAACAGUUGGGAAGCUGUUCCAAAGAGGGUGACAGGCCCGUAUGCGAAAUCUUGUACUCUCUAAUCAGGAUCCUGAGUACGGCCCAGCACGUGAAAUUGGGUCGGAAUCUGGGAGGACCAUCUCCCAAGGCUAAAUACUAACUAGUGACCGAUAGCGAACAAGUACCGUGAGGGAAAGGUGAAAAGAACCCCGGAAGGGGAGUGAAAUAGUUCUUGAAACCGUGUGCUUACAAGAAGUUCGAGGCCGUUAAUGGCUGAGAGCGUGCUUUUUGUAGAAUGAACCGGAGAGUUACGAUUGCGUGCAAGGUUAAGGUGCAAAGACUGGAGCCGUAGCGAAAGCGAGUCUUAAUAGGGCGAAUCAGUACGUAGUUGUAGACCCGAAACCGAGUGACCUAUCCAUGGUCAGGUUGAAGGUGGGGUAAUACCUACUGGAGGACCUAACAAGUGGGUGUUAAAAAACCCUUUGAUGAACUGUGGAUAGCGGUGAAAUUCCAAUCGAACUCGGAGAUAGCUGGUUCUAUCCGAAAUACAUUUAGG